GGAGGUAUAGCUCAGUGGUAGAGUGCCUGCUUAGCAUGCUCAAGGUCCUGGGCUCAAUCCUCAGUAUCUCCA
rfam:Camelus ferus unplaced genomic scaffold scaffold978, whole genome shotgun sequence.